rnacentral:tmRNA from 1 species
GGGGACGACAUGGUUUCGACGGGUAGUUGAAGGGGGAUAGAACUGCAUGCCGGGAUUUCUCGCUACCCCGAAAUUAGCGAGAGCACUGAUAAGUGCCGACUACAAUUAUGCACUGGCUGCCUAAUUUAACCGGGUAGCCCGCUCGCUAUCGCCUGUGCCCGUCAAGGCGAUAGAUGGGCGUCGCUAAUGAUGGGCCUCUCUUUGGGGUUGCCUGGGCCUCAAAGAGCAGUACCCUCCAGGCUCGCCACCGGAAGGCUGGCCGUGCUGCCCGCCGGUGGUUAAAUUCAACCGCACGGCUAAGCAUGUAGAGGUUCUAUCAACCUCCUACCCGGACCCGGGUUCGAUUCCCGGCGUCUCCACCA